rnacentral:rRNA from 1 species
GGCUCAGGACGAACGCUGGCGGCGUGCUUAACACAUGCAAGUCGAACGAAGCACCUUGAUUUGAUUCUUCGGAUGAAGAUCUUGGUGACUGAGUGGCGGACGGGUGAGUAACGCGUGGGUAACCUGCCUCAUACAGGGGGAUAACAGUUAGAAAUGACUGCUAAUACCGCAUAAGACCACAGCACCGCAUGGUGCAGGGGUAAAAACUCCGGUGGUAUGAGAUGGACCCGCGUCUGAUUAGGUAGUUGAUGGGGUAACGGCCUACCAAGCCGACGAUCAGUAGCCGACCUGAGAGGGUGAUCGGCCACAUUGGGACUGAGACACGGCCCAAACUCCUACGGGAGGCAGCAGUAGG